GGUGGGUUGGCUCAGUGGUUUGAGCAAAGGUCUUGUAACCGAAAGGUCGCGGGAUCGAAUCUCGCAAGAGGCA
rnacentral:tRNA from 1 species